UUUUCCUACGGGAGGCAGCAGUGAGGAAUAUUGGUCAAUGGGAGAGAUCCUGAACCAGCCAAGCCGCGUGAGGUAAGACGGCCCUAUGGGUUGUAAACCUCUUUUGUCGGAGAACAAAACCCGGGACGAGUCCCGGCCUGCGUGUAUCCGAAGAAAAAGCAUCGGCUAACUCCGUGCCAGCAGCCGCGGUAAUACGGAGGAUGCGCGCGUUAUCCGGUUUUAUUGGGUUUAAAGGGUGCGUAGGCGGUCCUUUAUGUCAGCGGUAAAAUUG
rnacentral:rRNA from 1 species